rnacentral:rRNA from 1 species
UAGGGAAUCUUCGGCAAUGGGGGCAACCCUGACCGAGCAACGCCGCGUGAGUGAAGAAGGUUUUCGGAUCGUAAAGCUCUGUUGUAAGAGAAGAACGUGUGUGAGAGUGGAAAGUUCACACAGUGACGGUAACUACCCAGAAAGGGACGGCUAACUACGUGCCAG